UACGUAGGGUGCGAGCGUUGUCCGGAUUUAUUGGGCGUAAAGAGCUCGUAGGCGGUUUGUCGCGUCGGCCGUGAAAUCUCCACGCUUAACGUGGAGCGUGCGGUCGAUACGGGCAGACUUGAGUUCGGUAGGGGAGACUGGAAUUCCUGGUGUAGCGGUGAAAUGCGCAGAUAUCAGGAGGAACACCGGUGGCGAAGGCGGGUCUCUGGGCCGAUACUGACGCUGAGGAGCGAAAGCGUGGAGAGCGAACAGG
rnacentral:rRNA from 1 species